rnacentral:lncRNA from 1 species
CGGCGCCCGCAGAGACGGGGUAACGGAACUGGGACGCCAGCGCUGCAUUGUGGGAGCUUUUAAAGCGGCGGGGAGCGCGGCGCGACCGCUGGGGCCCACCGGGCCGAGCUCGGCCCGCCACCCCCGCCCCGGCCACCCGGGCCUGCCGACCGGAAAGCCAGAACUGGUGAGCCGACUGCGGCCUCGCUGACUCUCCCGGGAGCCAAAUCUUCCACAGCCCGGGGCUGAAACUUGUAAAACUGCCCUCUCCGGUCACCCCGGAAAGUAGGAGGCUUUUUUCGCAGACGCGUUAAAAAAAAAAAAAAAAAAAAAAGCCUUUCCGUCCCCCCAGGACUGGGUCUGAACUGCUUUGCAGCUGAAGUGGCAGUGAUUCAGCGACCCCCUUCUCAGCAGCAGGCAAUGACAGAGGCAGGAGACGAAAAACAGCGAAUGAAUCAGCCCUCCCUCGGAGUCAGCUGCUGGAUGUUUGGCUUUCAAUUCCAUGAACACUCUUUUGUUUUUUCGGAAAACUCUGGAAAGUAGGCACCUUCCUCUUCACAUGCAAACCUGCCAUCGAUGUAACAUGGAAAGCUUUUGUUUUACAUUUUGAAUACCAUAUUCUGUAUGCCCUCUGUUGUAAGUACGCUAAUCUUUUGAAAAGAAGUUAUCUUAUAAGUAAACAAACAAAUUAAUAAAUAAAUCUGCCGGAUCUUCUUGGGUUCA